GACGAACGCUGGCGGCGUGCUUAACACAUGCAAGUCGAACGGAAAGGCCCUGCUUUUGUGGGUUGCUCGAGUGGCGAACGGGUGAGUAACACGCGAGUAACCUGCCCUUGUCUUUGUGAUAACUCCUCGAAACUGGGGCUCAUACCCGAUAGGAGCUCUUGCUGCAUGGUGAGGGUUGGAAAGUUUCGGCGGUUGUGUCUGGACUGGCGGCUUAUCAGCUUGUUGGUGGGGUAGUGGCUUACCCAGGCUUGGACGGGUAGCCGGCCUGAGCGGGUGACCGGCCACAUAGGGACUGAGGUAAGGCCGAGACUGCUACGGGAGGGAGCAGGGGGGAAUAUUGAAGAAGGGGCGGAAGCCUGAUGAAGCAACGCCGCGUGCGGGAUGACGGCCUUAGGGUUGUAGAACGAUUGCGCAUGUGACGAAGCGUGAGUGAAGGGAAUGGGUAAAGAAACACAGGCUAAAUAAGUG
rnacentral:rRNA from 1 species